rnacentral:misc_RNA from 1 species
UAAACACUCAACAUGAUCGACCCUACUUUAUUUGCUUCACAUAGAGUCCAGAUUCUUCAUUAUUUCCUACCUCAGAAUAGUGAGUCCAUGUAUGAGUAGUUCCUGCGGCGGUUAUACUGCAGGAGGCUGCCAUAGGUCCUGUCCCACACACCAACAAAGAGAGCUUCUGUAUCGGGGCUGAACGUCGCACCCGAGAUCUCACCGAAGAAGUCCAACUCCUGUCUCCUCUCAUAGCCGCUUCCAACAUCGAAGAUGUGCACAAAGUCUGCAGGCUCGGCCAUCAGCAUGAACUUGCCAUCAGAAGAGAAGCGGAUUGAUCGUAUGGCUCCAAGGUUGCCUCUCAGGACUGCCACCGAUUUGGAGAGGUUACGGACAUCCCAAAUGCGACACGUCUUGUCCUGGUUCCCAGUGGCGAACGUAUGGCCAUCGGGGCUCCACGCUGAUGCGAACGAGAAAUCGAAAUGACCGCGUAGAUCCUGGACAGUCUUUCCAGUAUUAGCAUCCACCAGUAGUCCCUCGGGGCUAUCUCCGACAACGACGACAAGUUUCCGAUCUGGACUAAUCGAUGUAUGGUUUACUGGCCACUCGAAACGGAAAUGAUUACGAAGCUGGAACUUUUCAACAUCAUAGUCUCGAACUCCAGAAUCAUUAUUUGAAGCCAUGAAGUGAAUAGCACCACUGGAACUAUCAUAAAUCUCCAAGGCGUUUGUGAUUGCAUUUUCAUCAUAGGUAGUUCGGCAGCAAAAGCUUAUUCCAGGUCGAUCUAGGUACUUGCAUAUAAGUUCUCCAUGAAAUCCACCAGCUACAAGUAAGUUAUCCUUAAUGGCUAAUGUACUAACUUGAGUUUGAGAAAAUCCCUCUAGUAAACUUCCCGGGUGCUUCUCAGACGGAGCUACAUGUCCCAAAACAUUCAAUACUUCUGACUUCUGGCAGCUCAAUACAGACCAAUGAAUAAUGGUAUAGUGCGACAUGAGGUAUACAUUGUGCUUUGAUGUAGCCCAGACUAAGUUUCUAAGCUGAAAAUGUAGAAUAGUUGAUCUCACAGAUCUUGUAUUGCGCCAGAAUUCGUAAAACAUUGCCCCUUUCUUAGUCAGUUUGCAUUCCUUUUCUGAUGCUUCUCCAGAAUUUGGAAUGUUCUCAUAAUUCUUGUACUGUUCUAAUCUAGUCUGCCUGUACUUAGUCCUCGUGAUACUAAGCCUAUCCCAAGGAAUUCCUUGAAUAUCUUUUCCUUUCCUUGCUUGUGCAGAUGAAGUAUCGGUUACUCUAGCAUUUGAUUGACCAUAUUCGUCGUCUUCAGAUUCUGAAUCUCCCAUCCCUCUUGCACGAAAUUCUUCAUCCAUGUCAUCCUCCAAAUCACCAACCUCGUAAUCAUCAGCCAUUCCAUCCAUGUCCUCCUCUUGGUAAUGAGACAUGUUUCAGUUUAAAAUAGUGUAGACUCCUCAGAUGCGAAAUAGACCGUGAAAUUUGAGCCUAAGCUCCAAUUACACAGGGAUCUCAAGAACCCUAACCCUAGGAUUCCGGAUCUCGAUUUGGGGUGGGAAAUCGGACGAAUUCGACGGAGAACAAGCGUCGGUGAAAGGACGAGAUGGGAGCUUUUUGCCCUAUUCGGCGCUGG